rnacentral:lncRNA from 1 species
UUCAAUUAAACAGUAAAUUAAAUCAAGGAAAUAAAACUGGAAUAUAACGUAAGGUUAAAUCCAGUAUAAAGUUGCACAAUAGUUUCCGGUGUAGAAACUAUUAUGCGAAAAAAUAUCUAAAAGUUAAAAUUGGAAAGGUAAAUUUGCAAGGGAAAAAGAAUGUAAAGCUUGCAAAAGAAAUAAAUAAAAUAAACAAUGCUGGAAAAGAAAAGAAAAAUAAGCAAAAGGCGUGAAAAGAAAAUUUGGCAGAGCUUCGGUGUGUGUAGACGGCAGAGAGAGGAGAGUUCUUUUAGGUUUUAAGGUAGCUAUUUAUAGUAGUGCUAC